rnacentral:rRNA from 1 species
AUUGAACGCUGGCGGCAUGCUUUACACAUGCAAGUCGAACGGCAGCGCGGGCUUCGGCCUGGCGGCGAGUGGCGAACGGGUGAGUAAUGCAUCGGAAAGUGCCCAGUAGUGGGGGAUAGCCCGGCGAAAGCCGGAUUAAUACCGCAUACGACCUGAGGGUGAAAGCGGGGGACCGAAAGGCCUCGCGCUAUUGGAGCGGCCGAUGUCGGCUUAGCUAGUUGGUGGGGUAAAGGCUUACCAAGGCGACGAUCCGUAGCUGGUCUGAGAGGACGACCAGCCACACUGGGACUGAGACACGGCCCAGACUCCUACGGGAGGGAGCAGUGGGGAAUUUUGGACAAUGGGGGCAACCCUGAUCCAGCCAUGCCGCGUGCGGGAAGAAGGCCUUCGGGUUGUAAACCGCUUUUGUUCGGGAAGAAAUCCUCUGGGCUAAUACCCCGGGGGGAUGACGGUACCGGAAGAAUAAGCACCGGCUAACUACGUG